UAACAUGUAUAAGUUUUACUUGUAUGAAAAGUUUGUUUUUGCGCCAAGGGAGACACGUGUUAUCAAAAAAUGGAUUCUGUCUAGCAUGGGAAAAAAAUUGAACACUUGAAGAAACUUAGUAAAAUCACGAAACUAUGAUUCAAAUCUUUCUGUUGAUCAAAUUGUGGCAACACAAACUGAUAAAAGGGUGAAUCUAGAACAGUUUAAGGACUUGGUGACCCAAUGGAUGGAUCCAAAAUACCAGGUUAAUUGCUCGUGGCAUGAAGGAAAACGUCAAAAAUGGUGAUGAAGGACUUAAAGGAAGAUAAAUGAUGGUUCGAUGAAGAUUCGGGUCGAGAUUCAAGACUUAAGAUGAAGAAACUUGUGUUGAUAUGAAGCCUGUGACCACGUGUUAGUAUUUUGGGCAUAACUUCUUCAUACGGACUCCCUUUUUGAUGAAUAAGCUAUCCACGGAAAGGCGAGAGAAAGAUCUACAACUUUCAUGUUGCACUUGAAGCCUCCAGCGCCGCUCAUUUCUCUCCAGCGCCGCUGGAAGUAAUCCUAAAGUCAACCAGCGGACCUGGAACAUCACCAGCGGAGCUGGGAGCCCACCAGCGCCGCUGGGAAUUCUGCCAGCGGCACUCCCAAGGUCGGUUCAGCUAGGGUUUAUCCGAAAACCUAUAAAUACCCUUCUAAAACCCUAGGGCCGAAAAAUACUCAUUCUAGUCGACUUUGGGGCUGUUUCUAGGGUAUUUUCACUAGAUCUAAACCCUCCUUAACAACAUAAUCAUCAUAAUCAUCAAUCGAGAAGGAGGAGGCAUACGUCGUGAGCGAGAGUCACAGCCGCAACCGUGACGAGCAGUAAUUCGACAUCAAUUAAUUCUCUAUUUCUCUGUCGGUAUAUUAUGGAUUUAUAUAUUAUUGAUUGUGAUUGUUAUUUUAUUAUGAGUAGCUAAAUAAUUAUUCAUCUACUAAGAUGAUGUAACAUGAUUAUGUGAUGGUUGCAUGCUAGAUACACUUAACGUUU